rnacentral:rRNA from 1 species
UACGGAGGGUGCGAGCGUUGUUCGGAAUUACUGGGCGUAAAGGGCGCGUAGGCGGCGGUAUAAGUCAGAUGUGAAAGCCCUCGGCUCAACCGGGGAAGUGCAUCUGAAACUGCAUCGCUUGAGUAUGGGAGAGGGAAGUGGAAUUCCCGGUGUAGAGGUGAAAUUCGUAGAUAUCGGGAGGAACACCGGUGGCGAAAGCGACUUCCUGGACCAAUACUGACGCUAAGGCGCGAAAGCGUGGGGAGCAAAC